AUACUUAACUGACGGGGAGAUACCAUAAUGACAAAGGUGGUUUCCUUAGGGUUAGUCUCUUAAUAUGAAUGUGAUGAUCCCUGCAAUUUUCCCAAAUGUGAGAUAUUAGACUACAUAAUUUGUGGUAGUGAAGGACUUUUUUCACACUCUCCCUUU